UUUCUGGUUGAUCCUGCCAGACCUGACUGCUAUCGGAUUGAUACUAAGCCAUGCGAGUCGUUGUAGCAAUACAAGGCAUACGGCUCAGUAACGCGUAGUCAACCUAACCUAUGGACGGGAAUAACCUCGGGAAACUGAGAAUAAUGCCCGAUAGAACAUUAUGCCUGGAAUGGUUUAUGUUCCAAAUGAUUUAUCGCCAUAGGAUGGGACUGCGGCCUAUCAGUUUGUUGGUGAGGUAAUGGCCCACCAAGACUAUUACAGGUACGGGCUCUGAGAGGAGUAGCCCGGAGAUGGGUACUGAGACACGGACCCAGGCCCUAUGGGGCGCAGCAGGCGAGAAAACUUUGCAAUGUGCGAAAGCACGACAAGGUUAAUCCGAGUGAUUUCUGCUAAAGAGAUCUUUUGUUAGUCCUAGAAACACUAACGAAUAAGGGGUGGGCAAGUUCUGGUGUCAGCCGCCGCGGUAAAACCAGCACCUCAAGUGGUCAGGAUGAUUAUUGGGCCUAAAGCAUCCGUAGCCGGCUCUGUAAGUUUUCGGUUAAAUCUGUACGCUCAACGUACAGGCUGCCGGAAAUACUGCAGAACUAGGGAGUGGGAGAGGUAGACGGUACUCGGUAGGAAGUGGUAAAAUGCUUUGAUCUAUCGAUGACCACCUGUGGCGAAGGCGGUCUACCAGAACACGUCCGACGGUGAGGGAUGAAAGCUGGGGGAGCAAACCGGAUUAGAUACCCGGGUAGUCCCAGCUGUAAACUAUGCAAACUCAGUGAUGCAUUGGCUUGUGGCCAAUGCAGUGCUGCAGGGAAGCCGUUAAGUUUGCCGCCUGGGAAGUACGUACGCAAGUAUGAAACUUAAAGGAAUUG
rnacentral:rRNA from 1 species